CGUGCGUGCGUGCGUGCGUGCGUGCGUGCGUGCGUGCGUGCGUGCGUGCGUGCGUGCGCGUGCGUGCGUGCGUGCCCGCGUUUUAUUCCCAUUUUCAACAAUGAUGUCAGAGUCCAGGAAUGACGGUGUCACUUCUCUAAGCAGAUGAUAAACUACCAUCAGUGUCAUCAAGAUAUUGAUGCCGUAGACUUGAAAAAGUGUGCCGUAAUAUACAUUUUCUUUAACCCAAUACAUACAUAUAUUUAUAUAUUAGUAGGAUUUUAUUAGUUCGAGGUGCCUUUGUGAAGCGCAUAAGGUGCGUUUAGUUGCACGCUGUCAACAGCAUGCCUUCAGCACUUUACUCUUGUCAGUGGUGAACGUAGCCACCAUAUUCUUUUGUACCAUCUCUUCGUAUAUGCAGCUUGGGGAUUCCGAAAAGUUUCAUUUAUCGUUAAGGUUACGCUGACUCUGUUCGUGCCACUUCUUCACCACGACUGCGAAAUACCGUUGCGAGAGCAUAGGAGAACGACAAUUUGAGAGCUGCGCACAAAUCACCAUAGGUGGGUAAUGUAUGGGGGAUGCCUCUAGUUGCGUAGAGUGCUGUUGCAGCGAUAAAAGGGUGAGGUAAAAGAGGAACUACACAUUACUGCUAGCAAAAGCGGGCUGCACUGAUAACAGUGAAGCCACAAAAUCAGUACUAUACACGGUUUUUCUCGUCAUAGAGCUUUAAAGCCGCUUUUCUCAAAUAAAACAGUGAUUUGAAAUGACCACACGAAUGUGCCAAAAUUCAUCGGUGACCUCAUGGUCAGGUGCACAGCGGAGUAGGUUAUUCGCGGUAGGAAAAUCAAUUUAAGUAAAAAAUAUUCUUGCUUGCUGCGCCGGCGCUACGCUGUAUGCGUAUUCAAAUCUGAUCACCCUUGUCACCCGGGAAAAUAAUUCUAUGCAGUGCUGGUAGUGCCACAGUAGCAAUUUUAUGGAGGCCCUGGUAAGAUGAAAAAGGCAAAGCUUCUCAGCUAGUCCUCGUCGCCAUAUUGUUUACCUUUCACUAAAUAUAUUCUGAACAAUGUCAUGUACAGAUUGUUUUUCAAGCAAUAACUAAUUUAACAAUGUAAUAAAAUCCUUCUUUUACACCAUUAUUUUUUCCUUUUGUCGGAUUUUAACCUCUCAAAAUGGCGACAGUGUCCAUGUUUUCGUGUAAAUAAACUGUAUGUCGUCAUGUUUA